rnacentral:rRNA from 1 species
CGGCAGGCCUAACACAUGCAAGUCGAGCGGUAAACGACACUAACAAUCCUUCGGGUGACGUUAAUGGGCGUCGAGCGGCGGACGGGUGAGUAAUGCCUAGGAAAUUGCCUUGAUGUGGGGGAUAACCAUUGGAAACGAUGGCUAAUACCGCAUAAUGCCUACGGGCCAAAGAGGGGGACCUUCGGGCCUCUCGCGUCAAGAUAUGCCUAGGUGGGAUUAGCUAGUUGGUGAGGUAAUGGCUCACCAAGGCGACGAUCCCUAGCUGGUCUGAGAGGAUGAUCAGCCACACUGGAACUGAGACACGGUCCAGACUCCUACGGGAGGCAGCAGUGGGGAAUAUUGCACAAUGGGCGAAAGCCUGAUGCAGCCAUGCCGCGUGUAUGAAGAAGGCCUUCGGGUUGUAAAGUACUUUCAGUUGUGAGGAAGGGGGUAUUGUUAAUAGCGCUAUCCUCUUGACGUUAGCAACAGAAGAAGCACCGGCUAACUCCGUGCCAGCAGCCGCGGUAAUACGGAGGGUGCGAGCGUUAAUCGGAAUUACUGGGCGUAAAGCGCAUGCAGGUGGUUCAUUAAGUCAGAUGUGAAAGCCCGGGGCUCAACCUCGGAACUGCAUUUGAAACUGGUGAACUAGAGUACUGUAGAGGGGGGUAGAAUUUCAGGUGUAGCGGUGAAAUGCGUAGAGAUCUGAAGGAAUACCAGUGGCGAAAGGCGGCCCCCCUGGAACA